rnacentral:lncRNA from 1 species
GGCAAAUGUUAACUCCAUCCCCCACCCACAGCCGGGUCUUGGUAGGGAGAGGGUGAAAUGAUGGACUAGGAGAGAUUUGGGUUCCUUGGACAGAUCUUGCCUUUUCCAGCAAGGUUGGGUUACAUGCCCUCUCUCUCUCAGCUCCUGGAAUUCCCCCUUGGCUUGCUACUGUUCUGAGAUGAAGUAAACUGGGUGAUUCUAAGAAUGGGCCUUGAGUCUGGCAAACCCAUCUGUUUCUUCCUAGCUAUGGGCCCCUGGCCCUCACCUCCCGCUUCUCAGUUUCUUCACCUGGAAAAUGAAGAUGACUAAGGAACCUGGGCCUUGGAAGGUUCUGGGAAUUCAGUGGAGUCAGAUUUAAAUAGAUUUUACUGCGACAGGGGAGACCCCACCAAGCAGGGCCAAUAUAUGUGGUCCCAGGAGGUCAAGAAAUGGUGACUUUCCGUAUCCACUCCCGUCUUUCACUGCACGAAGCCCUCGGAAGAUUAUUCUAUAGCAGUACGAUGACAGCAUCCUCCUUCUAGGAACUACAUCGUCUUCCGUCUCUGGAUGUGCCAUCUUUUACUCAGCUAGUCUACAUCUCAGGUGUUCCCCAUCUUCUGCACACAAGUAUUUGCACAUGCGUGUGAGUGUGUGCUGCGAGCACAUUCUUACCAGUGGUAUCACUGGGUCUUGGGAGGUGUGUUUUUGUUUUUGCAUGUGACAAACACAAGCAAAUUGUCUUCCAUGGGGGUGGCCUCGAUUAUCCGUCCCCAGCAUGGCCCGGGAGUGCCUGUAUGCCCAUGAUCUCACUAAUAGGAUAGCAUCAGCUCUUUCAUUUUUCUUUACUUUCUUUUUGAGACAGAGUCUUGCUCUGUCACCCAGACUGGAUGCAGUGGCAUGAUCUCAGCUCACCUGCAGCCUCCGCCUCCUGGGUUCCAGCGAUUCUUCAGCCUUACCCUUCCAAGUAGCUGGGACUAGAGGCAAGCACCACCACGCCGGGCUAAUUUUUGUAUUUUCAGUAGAGAUGGGCUUUUGCAAUGUUGGCCAGCCUUGUCUGGAGCUCCUGACCUCAGGUGUUCUGUCUGCCUCAGCCUCCCAAAGUACUGGGAUUACAGGCAUGAGCCAUCACACCUGGCCUUUUACUUUUCACUGAAGGGAAAUAUACAUACAAAAAAGUGCGCCUGUCAUCAGAGCCCAGCUCGCUGGAUUUUCACAGCAUCCACGCCUCCAUGAAACCAGCACUUGGAUCAAGACGGGAAGGUCCCCAGUCCCUGAAGCCUGCUUGUCACUCCCCUCCCAACAUAAACUUGAUCUAUUGUCAGUCUUUUUUGUUCACUAAAAUCCCCCUUCCCUUUCCAAAUUCCCCUGUCUGCAUAGACCAUGUCAGUGCCGCCCAAACCAUAUGCCAGGAAACUGAAAAACUAAAAUGUUUUGAUUUUUUUAAAGGAAAAAUAAAUCAGUAAGGACAAGGGUCCCCAAACUAUUCCCCACGGGCCAAAUCCAUUUUGCAGUCCUUUUACGUGUGGCCCACAUGCUAAAAAUUAUAGUCAUUUUUUAAAUGAUUGGGAAAAAAAAUCAAAAGAAGAAUAGAUCAGGACACAUAAACAUUUUAUCAAAUUCAAAUCUCAGUGUCCAUAAAUAACGUUUUCUUGGCACGCAGGCACGUUCUUCAUUUGUGUAUUAUCUACGGCCCAGUUCUUGCUGCAGCAGCGGAAUCGAGAAGCUGCGGGAGAGACCCCGCAGCCUGCAAAGCUGAAAAUAUUUACUUCCUGGCCAUUCACAGAAAAUGUUUGCCAACCCAUGACCUAAAGCAUCAUCUCUCAGAGGGUUGGGAAGGAACCUGGAAGCUGUCCCAUUCAGAGGCGGGAGCUUCAACGGGACCCUGCGUCUUCUGCCUCCAAGGCCUGUGGUAGGGGCUGUCACAGGCUGCAGAGGAGUCCAGGAGGGAGAUGCUACAGGUAAGGCAGGAGGAUGGAGAAGAGAGAACAGACUUGAACUAGACUUAGGGUCACACCAGCAGCUGUGAGCAGCUGACGAGUGUUCCAGUGCAAGGAGAGGAGGGUGCAAGAGCCAGGGAUUAUACACUGAUUAGCCUCCAUCACCGCAGAAAUUAUCUUGCCUGUGCAUGGUGCGAGGGUCUGGAACAUACAUUUAACCAAGGCAAGGAGCGAAGUGAGAGGAAGCAAUAUUGUGGAUUGCAGGAGGUGAUGGAUGAGAUGAGAGAAGAAUCUGCAUGGUCAGAAUCUGUUUGGCAUCGGAAGGGAAGUACCCAGGAAAUUUGAGGAUCGCCUCGUCCAGUUGUCUGUGGAACUGAACUGUGAGUUGUCCAUGAGGGAUGAAUGGCAAUGCCAAUGUUUCCAGAGUUUCUGUCAUGAGGUCUCCUGGCUUGGAGAUGGAGAGGGCACACACAGGUUUCGGAUUCAAGCCUGCAGGACAGUCCUGGCUGCACCACUCAGGAACCCUGGGUGAGUCUCUUUACCCCUCACAGCCUCAGUUUUCCCUUCCUGGAAAUGGGACCACAAUCCAAACCUUGUAGAACUGCUUCAAAGAUGAAAGGAGACAUCGCAUGUGAGAUGCCGGCCCAUAGGAGCCAGGGCACGAAAGGCAGCUCCGCAUUGGGUCCCCAAAAAGUCUCCGCAGGUUGGCAGCCAAGAGAGCUACCAUUUCUUUGUUUGGAGAGAUUCCACUCCCUGGAAAGGGUAAUCCUGCAGGAAAGGAGGAGGGAGUCGUUCCAGAGUUUGGGAGAUGUCGGCUUUGACUCUGAGUGAUGCCGCCUCAAACACUUACUGUCAUACAGGAAGUUACUCAAACACAAUCAAUUAGACACCCAUAUUAGCAUAUUUGUCAUUGUAAUACAGCCGCAGAGAGGAGAUGCUGGAGACUGUUUAUUGCUGUUCUGAGCUAAUAUUUAUUAAAGUGAUUAAUAUGUUUUUCAAAUAUCUGUGACAGGCGUGGCAGGAAUUACUGAUCUCCUCCCUCGAGAGCCUGAAAGGGUGAGGGGUGGGAGUCACUUAGAGAGGGGCGGCAGGUAGGGGCCUUGGGGCCUCAGGGGACCGUGUCCUCCUCUGGGGCCCCUUUCCUGCUCGGGCCUCCUGCCUUCCAUCUUCCCCUGUCUCCUCCACCUUCAACUUCCCCUGUCUCCUCUCCUCCACCUUCAACUUCCCCCUCUACUGACCGUUCCCAUCGGCAUUCUGAGACAUCUCCCACCAUGACAAAUAGAGACCUCCCAGGAUGCCCUGUCCCCCUGCUCCUUCCUGGACCCCCUCAUCCCCAGCCAUUCUGCCAUCUUCCUCCUUCCCUCCAUAGCCAAACUCUUCAAAAGAACUCUUUUCCCUCCCUACCUCCUUUGCUCAUCUUCCAGUCUCUGCUUUUUAAAAAUCAUUACAAAAAAUUAAAAGUGGCUGGGCGCGGUGGCUCACACCUGUAAUCCCAGUACUUUUGGAGGCCAAGGCGGGAGGGAAUAACCUGAGGUCAGGAGUUCGAGACCAGCCUGGCCAACAUGGUGAAACCCUGUCUCUAUUAAAAAUACAAAAAUUAGCAGGGUGUGGUAGCUGGUG